UGAACCCCGUUGAAGGAAAAAGUAGUUAAGCAUUAGAUGUUUAGAGAGAAAAUGUCGUUGGCUGCAAGCAUUUUUACAUCUGACUUAAUGAAAGACAUUCCUUAGGAUCUUAAUUGAAAUAAAUGUAGGUUAAGACGUUUUGCAGGCGUUAACUGUGCAGAGUGGAUGCUAGAUAAUGCAUCAACUAGGGUGGCAACGCGGGUAACUCUCGUCCCUUUU
rnacentral:ncRNA from 1 species